AUCUCCAGGACCGGAAAUCCUAGCCUUAUCCUCCUCCAUCCCGCCGCACGCCUCCUUCUUUUUCCCCACGCAAAGGAACCAGAGAGGAGAAGCAUACCGGAAAACCCCACAGCAACCACCCACCUCGCCAUGGCGCCGCCGCUACAUACCAUCCCCCGUCGUUCUGAGGGCACCGGCGGAUGCGCAUCGUCGUCCUCUACCUCCUGGUGCGCGGAAUCGUCCCGAAAGGCUCCGAGUUGAGCGCAAGGUCGCCAAUUCCCCGUGACGGUCGUCAUACUCUAUCUCCAAUUCCGGCCACCCUCGUCAUCCUCCGGCCAAACCGAGCACACCUCCGGCUUCCCCGUGUACUGGCGCAUGCCCGACGCCCUCUCCCUCGUCCCGUUUCGGCCGUAAUCGCCGGAUGGAUUUUGACCCGAGUCUCGGCCAUGGAUGGGCGCGUGCAAGCUCGUAUGUGUUUUUCUCCUUCUUAUGUAGCAGUGCUUCCCCUUUGUAAACAACAACAUCCAUCAAGCCCAGUGGCUCGUUCCGUCCUCCUCAACCAGAUCGACGCAGGUGGUCUGGACUCUGUAUGUCCACUCGUGAGGUGUUGGGUUCAAUUUCAGUCCGAGGCACAAUUCUUUUUAUCUCCUCCGAAUCCUUGACGAAUCCUUGAUGGGCCUCAGCCCACUCCCUGCCAGCUUCUCCGCCGCCCAGAGCGCGGCAGGCCGCCACCCGCUGCUCAGUACUUUGCUUCUUCCCGGAUAGGACCACGAAGUGGUGAUGUGAGAUACGA